rnacentral:rRNA from 1 species
GACGAACGCUGGCGGCGUGCUUAACACAUGCAAGUCGAACGAAGUGGCGAACGGGUGAGUAACGCGUAAUCAACCUGCCCUUCAGAGGGGGACAACAGUUGGAAACGACUGCUAAUACCGCAUACUGAAGGAGGGGAUUGCGGCUGAUUAGCUAGUUGGGGGGGUAACGGCCCACCAAGGCGAUGAUCAGUAGCCGGUCUGAGAGGAUGAAACGGCAACUUGGGACUGAGACACGGCCCAGACUCCUACGGGAGGCAGCAGUGGGGAAGCGUCCGCAAUGGACGAAAGUCUGACGGAGCAACGCCGCGUGAGUGAUGACGGCCUUCGGGUUGGAAAGCUCUGUUAAUCGGGACGCGGUACCGGAAUAGAAAGCCACGGCUAACUACGUGCCAGCAGCCGCGGUAAUUC